GGAUUCUCGUGCCUCAGUCUCCCAAGUAGCUGGGAUUACAGGAGAGGAGAAAUGGGUGACUCAUCCACAUACCUGAUCAGCAUGCUGCUGAACACUCUCCAGGACUCUGCGACUAUCUGGACUAUCCUCUUGAGUCCUCUGUUCUGCACUCUAGCCACCUUGGCCUCCCCAGAAUCUUGGCUCCAUCUCCUAGACUCAAGAAGUUGCUGGUCUCCACCUGGUUUCCUCCUCCUUGUGCCAUGUCCUGAAGGCUGUUUCAAUCUGUGUGGCUUGGUUAGGGCUCAGGUCCAGACCUGGCCAGUCAAUGUACUCUAUUUCCUUGGCUGUAAUGGCUAGUUCAGGGAUAAUAGGGUGACCAUAUCAGUCUAAGACUCAAUUCCAGAAUUUCUGUUGGAAGUUUUUCUUCUGGGAUUGCUAUCUUAUUCUAGAAGAAUAAGGUGGAGGCAACCACAUGAAAGAUUCUGCCUGACAUUAAAUUCAGAACAGAGGAAGGCAGAAUGAAGAGACUAAGAGACUGAGACUUCAUGAUGUUGUUUGAACCUCUGAAUGCAUCUAUACCCAAAACCCAUAACCUGUUUUUUUUUUUAAUAUUUGAGCCAUCAAAUCCUUUUUUUCCCAGUCGAGAUCAGUUCAAUUUAAUUUCUGCCACCUGCAGUUGAACGAGUCCUCAGUAAUAUAGCUGAACUAGAUCAGCCCUGCUUCUUUUUAACACCCUUCUCAAACUCUGGGGAUAAAUCACAGUGGUCCUCUGUCUUCACGCACGCGCGCGCACACACACACACACACAGUCACUCACAGACUCACACCAACUUGAUCCUCUCCUUUUUCAUCAAGGAGAAGGGAGCGGAGGACUCAUACCACCCAUUCUGUAUCUGGCAAUGAAAAGACAAAGAGUGCCAAUAAUCAUGUCACAAGUAAAAUGGCAUCUACACAAAUGAAAUGCAACAUUGCUAAAUGUGAAUGUACUUCCAAUUCAUUUUUACCAAGAAAAAAGUCAUUUAAGAAAUGCUUGCACUCAUCUUAAAAAAUCAUUUUUUGGGGGACUAGCCCUGUAAAGCAACUCAUGGAAAUCUGUAAGAGAAUGAGACCAACAGAAGAUCUUGAAGGUGACAGAAUAGUAGUGACAGUCCUAAGCGAGGAGGUUACUGGAAUGUUUGACCUUCUCUACUGGCUCCAAGACAAACAUUUGUUUUGAGGAAACAAUUGUGAAAAAUGCUUCUGUUUGAAAACAUUAGCUUACGGAGCAAACAGUUGAUUUAAAAAUCUAUACUUAAACUAUUAGGUUUCUGCCAAAUAAAACACUUGUCCACCCAAACAUAUGUUUCAAUGAAAAAUGCUUGCCAUUGUAGACAGAGCAGAAGGAAAUGCCCAAAAUAUGGUCAAACUUAGCAAUAGUUUAAAAAUCAAGUUGUUAACCACUGAAUUGUCAAGAUGGUAAUUUUCCAAUCAAUGUUCCAGUAUCACUUGUCAAUUAUUGUACUAUAAAAAUAGACUAAGGAUGUAUUUUAUGAUUAUUCAUCUUUUAAAACAUUCUAUUUAAGAAUCUGGCAGUCUUAUCAAUGCAAAAAUAGUUUUUUUUCUUUGAGAGUCAGGAAUCCUAAGUUGCUUUUUUGCAAUUUCUUCUUCUUCUUCUUCUUCUUUUUUGAAGGGAGGUUAACUAUAUAACUUGGAGUCUUCCCAAAGAUCCUUUCCUUACAGAUUAACCUUACAGAUUGGCACUCUUUGUCUCUGUUGUUUCAUUCCAGAAUACAGAGUAGGAGCCCCUCCACUCCCUUCUCCCUUACAGAAAGAAGACCAAGUUGGUGUAAGUCUGUGAGGGACUGUGUAUGCAUGUGCAUCUGUGUGUAUGUGAGGUUAGUAGACCGUGGUCAUUUGUCCCCAAAGUCUGCGAGAGAGGCAUGUUAAAAAGAAGCAGGGCUGAUGCAGUCUAGCUAUAUAACUACGGUUAAUCUGUAAGGAUCUUUGGGAAGUGUAUUUGUUUAUUCUAAAACAUUUUCCUACAUGGUCUUUACCUCAGAUGUAUCUGGAUCACUAGUCUUUUAAACUGCAUUUCAUUCCUUUUUUUUGUUGUAGUUCUUUAUAGUUUAAAAAGAGCAGCUCAGAAAAUCAUAGUGUGUGCCAUCCAGAGCUAGGAAAUGGCAUUGCCAAGCUCACCAAAUCACAGUCCAGGAGAAUAUGUGCUGUACUGAUGGCUUUAUCCUGGAGCCCUGAACUGUUUUUCAGUUUCCCUAAUUGUGAGUUGAUUCUCAGACUUAAGCCUGAGCAUAUUUUAGGUCACAACAUUCUCAUAAAAGCAUCUUUCAGAAUCUAUGGAAUGUGACUUCAGGACCCCCAGGGAGAUGAGGUCCUGGUUCUUAAGGAGGGCAGCCAGCCAUCCAGUUUUUCUCGUGAAUGGAGGAAGAAAAGUCACCUGGGCCUCUCAGACUGUGUAGGGACCAGUCUUCGGGUUUUUGCUCAGGCAGCCCCCGUCCUGGAACACUUUUCCUCAGUUCCUCCCUACCCACCUGAAUGCACACAAUCUUUAUGGCCCAUCUCGUUUGUGAAGCUUUGCUUGAUUGUCUCCUAAAGGGAUGGCUUUCUCUUCUGAACUCUUAUGCCACUUGUCAGCUCUUGAACCCGAGCAUUAGAGAGAGAAACUAGGUCUCUGAAAGAUUUCCACAGUAGAAGAUUAUGGAAGGCAGGGGUACCACAAUUUACACACUUUUGGUUUUCCUCACAGUGACCUGCACAGUGUCUUUAUUUUGGUUUAAAGACAAGUUUUCCAGUUUCAAAAGGAAACGGAGAAUAGGUUAUUUUUUUCUUUGAGAGGCUUUUACAUAGAGAACAUAGACUCACCGGAAACAAUCCAAUAAAAACAAGCCUUAGUGUCACCCUCUGACACCCCAGCUCAGAGGAGGGUAAAGGCAUGCAGCCAGACAGGAAAGUGUAUGAUGAGGGAGGCAGACAGGCUUCCUCAGGUUCCUCUAGGUAUAUGUAAGAGCCGCUGUGAGAAUAUGCAUUCUCUUUCCUCAACCCGCCCUGGGAGGGGGGAAGUCUCAGGAACCCCCUCAUUUAGAGGGUAGCUGGAAGCUGCUCCUAGAGACUGUUGCUGGGCACUCAGGGGAACCUACCAUGCACUAGGAACUGCCAACCCUCAGAAGGUGAAUCAACCAUAGCAUAUGUUUCUAAUUCGAACAGAUGUACUGUAACAUGCUUACCUCAUCCUGGUUAUGACUGAAGUCCUAUAAGCUUCAACUAAUUUAAGCAACAAUCUGGUGACCAACAGAAGACUGUGUCUGAACCAGGUAGCAUUUGCUAGAAGAGCUUCAAAGAAGAUUGUCCCAGAGAUCCCUACCAAUAGUCUCGUGCACACAGUAUGUGUUCAUUAGAUAUUCUGUACAGCUGUUAAAUUGUAGGUAACUAUAAUUGGGUUUGUCUAUUCUUACAGAUACUUGGAAAAAUAUAAGAUUAAAUUCCUGGGGAAAGGGUGGGAUGGGAAGGAGAUAGUGAAGGGAAUUUGUGAGUUUCUGAAGGGAUAGCUAUUCUUGUCUAAUCAUUUCUCUUUUCCUUGACUUGUCAAGACAAAAAAAAAAAAAAAAGGAGUUGUUUUUCACCCAGUUGCUAUUCAUUAAAUCUUUAUGGGACUGAA
rnacentral:lncRNA from 1 species